GUGGUCAUCUGUCCAGGUCUUGAAUUUCCAUUGCCCUUUGCUAUACGGGAUGGCUGUUAGGCCAAGUUUUUACCGAUAGGUUAAGAGUGAACAUCAUGCAUGCAGUCUAGAAGUUAGGAGCCUUAAGGUGGUGAGUGGACCUCUUCCACAUUUUCACCUUUUCUUCAAGACCAGUUGGGAACUGGCUGCAGCAGUGACCUUAGCCUGGACCAUGGUCCAACUCCUGGACCAUGACAGAGCAAGAAUAGGAAACGAACCUGGGACCUGAAUAACCGUGGAACAGCCACUGUAUCCUCUGAGGAGAGCCAGCGAGGUUCACUCGGAGUAACUUGCUUCACUCUACUCAUUAUACCGAAGGCUUGUAGGCUGCCGACACAGACCAGGUUGCCACAUGACCUUGGGUGAUCAAGAAGGCAAGCUUUAACGCAUCAGCGAGUCUGUUUACUUUGUUAAGAAUCAACUGUGCACUCUCCAGAGCUGCAGCCCUACUGCCACAGCCAGGGACAAGCAAUUCGUCUGCUUUUGCAUUCCCAGAGGAUUUUCAGCACAAACAGGAGGAGUAAAUGUACCCAUCCCUCCCCACUCUAAUAGGUAUAUGCUAACUAUUCACAAAUGUAUGCUAUUGUGUAAGUCCUUCCUGGUGAGUUUUAGACUAAAAAAAUGCUUCUGGAAUAUGAGGAGGCCUGAGAUAAUUAGAGAAUGAUUGUGGAGAGGGGGGCGGAAAGGCCAGACUGGUGUUAUGCCGAGGGAGGAGGAGCGGAAGAGCACGGGUGGACUUGUGAACAAGUCCUAAGUCUUCCCAGCUUACGUGUGAUUUCUGCAUAAGACACCGAAUCCCCCUGAGCGCCCGCGCCUUUGUGUUUCAGGUAAGGCAUUCUCAGGUAAGGCAUGCUAACCAUGCGGCAGCUGCCUCUCCAGGUGCUUGGGAGAUGUGUGAGAAUAAAACCAGGUCCCUGCCCUGGAGCAGGAAUGGACUCCAAAAAAAUUAGAUUUAUUCUUCUAUUCAAGAUGUAUUACUGAACUGAAUUUUUACCUGGUGCCAAACGCUGUUCCAGGAGUUGAUUUUCAUUUUCUUUUUUAGGUCUCCUCUUUUCCAGAAUUAUUUAAUGAAUUACAUAUGACACACUGAAACUGUCCACCACGUAUGGUAUAUGAGCAGCUAAUGCAGCUGGGAUUGUUAUUCUUAUUACUCUUUUCUUUAUUACAUGCUCUUCUGUUCCUUUCAAAGAUGGUUUUAUUCCUCUAUUCAUUUUUGUAUUUGCUUUUUUAGGUGUUUGUUUGUACUGGUCUGUCUGUUACUACUCUGUCUCUGCUUCAGUAUCUUUUCACCUGGUUUUUGUCAGUGUUGGUUUGCUGGGACGGACACACAGGGCCACCAUCAUCACCUGGAACCAGAGAGGGCAACCACACAGAGAGGAAGGGUAUGUGGACUCCUUCAUCAGCCUGUAGCGGCGCUUUCCAGGGGUGUCUUAUUCUUGACUGCCUGAUGCAUGGUCCUCACCAGGAUAACUCCUCAGGUGGAUGAUGUUCUAACAGGGAGACACGGAAGAUGGAGAGGCAAAAGGACAGAGCUGGGCGGCUGAGUCGUGGUUGGAGAAGGCAGUCAGCAAUGUCUGUGCUGCUCCCUCUCACCCAUUCCUACCCCCCAGGCUCCCAGUCAGGUCCAACGGCACCUUCUCCCCAAUCUCCAGGGCUCACAGACCUCCUUCCUGGCACUAAUCACACUGGAGAGCAGUGACCCCGCAUCAUCUUGAUCUCUCAUCAACUCUGUGACUUGAAGGCAGGAAUGGCAUUUCACCCCCGUGGUUUUUUAUGCCAAAGCAUAACCAGGUUCACAUGAGACCCUUAAUAAAUUCCUAUAUGAUGAACGCACGAAGGGAGAAAGUAGAAGAGUUAACAGGGCAAGAGCCUAGGGGCAAAGCACAGGUAGAAAGUAAAUCUCCAGAAGGAAUGAAAAGGGAACCUUGACCUUCACAUAAUGACCCUUAUUCAACAGUGCCAUGUGGACAGGAAGGCCAGAGGACUCAGAGCGCAGGACCGGGGCCUCGGAAGGGGAACGCCCUUUCUCAACAGAAAGAAAAAACUGGACUCGUCUCCUUUGCCAUCCCCUUCUCUGUCUCUUCCUCUGGUUGAUGUCCAACCAUUUAAUGGACCUACUGUUUCAGUGACAGAGAGCUGGGUUCAAUUCCCAUCUCCUCUACGGAACCUUCCUCAUCUCCACGAAGCCAGACAUGACACAUGGGUCAAGAAAUCUAAUCUUCUGCAGCUAGCUACAAAUUUAAGUGAUAAAGAAAGUUUGAGAGCAUCAUUUCUACUAUCUUACUCAACCCUACUUCUGUUAAUGAUGAGUCACUGAAGUGCCAAGAAUAGAUCCUCAGACUGCAAUUUCGCCCUCACCAACUCCUCCCGGCAUCUGCCCGGUUCCAACCCCUCUUUCUAUUGUGUGCGUGGAACACGGCUGAGUUGGCCGGCUGGUUUAGUGUUUGAUGGAGUUUAGAACAGCACAAGAGGCAGCUCAACACCAUGUGGAUAUGUAACAAGCUCUAAUGGGAGUCCUUGUCGUGAGUGAAAUGAACCAAAUGUGGUGUUAGGAACUACACGAUCGAUUCAGACACAAACUAAUGAUUUUCUGAUGCAUCAUAGAUAUUUAUUGGUUGCUAGGCAACCAAAUAUUUCCACACUGACACCAGGGAAAACUUGUAUUGCUAAGCUCGGAUUGGCCGUGUCCGUAAUUAAUUCUGCAUGGGACUGUCUCCCAGUGUCUCUGGCAUAGAAGAAACCUAAAAAGACACUUAAUCCGAAGAUCAAUUCCAGGCUUGCAUCUAUUGGAGCAGUUCCUGAGCUGGGAACUUUCAUUCCUCAAGGCAUGUUUGGAUGCUUCUUCCUCAUAUUGAACAAAGAUGUGUCUGCCUACAGGCCUCAUGAAUGUUGCUCCCAUUCUUUACAUAGAGCAAACUGUACCUCCUCUUCAAUACUGAAUAUAUUUGGAGAGGGCUUACACGUUUUCCCUGCAUCUUUUUUUUCCCCCCCUCCAGAGUAAACACAUCCAACUCAUUGGUUCAACUCCAUUUUCUCAAAUACUGAUUGUUCUCCCCUCCCAGUGAAUGACACCAUAAUGCUUCAAAGGGCAGCAGCUUGGAUCGGUUGUGGUGGUUUAGUUUAGAGUGAUAGCUA